rnacentral:lncRNA from 10 species
AAAUAACCCGAGCUCUCAGCAAUGUGGAAAGAAACUGGCCAGCAACCUGGGGUAAAGGAUCCUCCAUAAUGGCCACUAAAGUCUGCACAUGGACCGAGGAAAAGACACUGCAGGAGCUGUGCCAAAACUUUACAUAUAACAUCUGCACCAUUCUUGGAGGUGAGCUGUCCAGGAGAGGACCCAGCCAGAAUCAUCUGUGUGAGCUGUGGCAGGAUCGAGCUCUGCAAGUUUGUUGUGUGAAGCUACUGAGGUGCAGAACUGUGGGUUAGGCAGAGGGCCUCUCCUGAUUAAUAUUACUACAAUGAAAGCAGGAAGGCUUUGAGGGACUUCUGCAACACACGAGUCUAAAUUUAGUUUAAUUCUGCAUAAUGAUGGCUUAUUCCUUUUUGCUUUUAUCUUCUGAGUGCAUGGCAGAAGACCAUCUCCCAGUAAUGCUGCUGAUUCAGAUCCUUGAGCUGUGUGUUCCCACCACUGAGAGGAGAGACAAUACGGUGAAAAGAACACAGAUGCCUGUGCUGCCUUUCCAAAUUCUGCCCCCA